UAGAGUGUAAAGGCAUAAGGGAGCUUGACUGCGAGACCUACAAGUCGAGCAGGGUCGAAAGACGGACUUAGUGAUCCGGUGGUUCCGCAUGGAAGGGCCAUCGCUCAACGGAUAAAAGCUACCCCGGGGAUAACAGGCUUAUCUCCCCCAAGAGUUCACAUCGACGGGGAGGUUUGGCACCUCGAUGUCGGCUCAUCGCAUCCUGGGGCUGUAGUCGGUCCCAAGGGUUGGGCUGUUCGCCCAUUAAAGCGGUACGCGAGCUGGGUUCAGAACGUCGUGAGACAGUUCGGUCCCUAUCCGUCGUGGGCGUAGGAAAUUUGAGAGGAGCUGUCCUUAGUACGAGAGGACCGGGAUGGACAUACCUCUGGUGUACCAGUUGUCGUGCCAACGGCAUAGCUGGGUAGCUAUGUAUGGACGGGAUAAGUGCUGAAAGCAUCUAAGCAUGAAGCCCCCCUCGAGAUGAGAUUUCCCAACUUCGGUUAUAAGAUCCCUCAAAGAUGAUGAGGUGAAUAGGUUCGAGGUGGAAGCGUAGCGAUACGUGGAGCUGACGAAUACUA
rnacentral:rRNA from 1 species